CGGGUGAGUAACGCGUGAGGAACCUGCCUCAGAGAGGGGGAUAACACACCGAAAGGUGUGCUAAUACCGCAUAACAUAUGAGAGGGGCAUCCCUUUCAUAUCAAAGAUUUAUUGCUCUGAGAUGGCCUCGCGUCCAAUUAGCUAGUUGGUGAGGUAACGGCCCACCAAGGCGACGAUUGGUAGCCGGACUGAGAGGUUGAACGGCCACAUUGGGACUGAGACACGGCCCAGACUCCUACGGAAGGCAGCAG
rnacentral:rRNA from 1 species